rnacentral:rRNA from 1 species
UGCCAGCCGCCGCGGUAAUACGGAGGGGGGUAGCGUUGUUCGGAAUUACUGGGCGUAAAGCGCGCGUAGGCGGACUAUUAAGUCAGGGGUGAAAUCCCGGGGCUCAACCCCGGAACUGCCCUUGAUACUGGUAGUCUUGAGUUCGAGAGAGGUGAGUGGAAUUCCGAGUGUAGAGGUGAAAUUCGUAGAUAUUCGGAGGAACACCAGUGGCGAAGGCGACUCACUGGAACAUUUCUGACGCUGAGGCGCGAAAGCGUGGGGAGCAAACAGGAUUAGAUA